rnacentral:sRNA from 1 species
UCUUCUCUGUGUCCUCCUCAGAUCUGAUGUCCAAGUGGCUGGGGGAGAGUGAAAAGCUGGUCAAGAACCUGUUUGAGCUGGCCAGGCAGCACAAGCCCUCCAUCAUCUUCAUCGAUGAGGUGGAUUCCCUCUGCGGGUCCCGAAAUGAAAAUGAGAGUGAGGCCGCCCGGAGGAUCAAAACGGAGUUCUUGGUCCAGAUGCAGGGGGUGGGGAAUAACAACGAUGGGACUCUGGUUCUUGGAGCCACAAACAUCCCAUGGGUGUUGGAUUCGGCCAUCAGGAGGAGGUGAGUCUUCCCCAGGAGAAGCCAGGGCUGGAGGCUUCCUCCCACCAUGGUCACGGUCCGCCUGCUGCUGGCAGCCCGGGUGCGGCCUGGCCCCUUUUCCCUGGAGUCUUCCCGUCUGCCUGCCAAGCAGAGCCCUUUGUGAGGCUGGCUUGUUGAGGAUGUGCCGCCAGCAUCACUGGCCCAUGAAAUGCGUCCGUUUCACUCAAAUCUUCGUGCCUCCCCUUCCGUGAAUACCAUUCCAUCAUCCGCUGUCAACUCCUGCCGUGUGCUGGGCUCUCUAGGUUUGAAAAGCGAAUUUAUAUCCCCUUGCCGGAGGAAGCUGCCCGCGCCCAGAUGUUCCGGUUGCA